GUAGGGGGCAAGCGUUAUCCGGAUUUACUGGGUGUAAAGGGAGUGUAGACGGCAUUGCAAGCCAGAUGUGAAAGCCCGGGGCUCAACCCCGGGACUGCAUUUGGAACUGUAGAGCUAGAGUGUCGGAGAGGCAAGUGGAAUUCCUAGUGUAGCGGUGAAAUGCGUAGAUAUUAGGAGGAACACCAGUGGCGAAGGCGGCUUGCUGGACGAUGACUGACGUUGAGGCUCGAAAGCGUGGGGAGCAAACAGGAUUAGAUACCCUGGUAGUCCACGCCGUAAACGAUGACUACUAGGUGUCGGGUAGCAAAGCUAUUCGGUGCCGCAGCAAACGCAAUAAGUAGUCCACCUGGGGAGU
rnacentral:rRNA from 1 species